rnacentral:lncRNA from 1 species
UUAUUGUGUUGCCUAGGCUGGAGUGCGGCGGCGCAAUCAUGAUAAUGGCUCACCAUAGCCUCCACCUCUCUGGACUCAAGUGAUCCUCCCACCUCAGCCUCCCUAGUAACUCGGGGUACAGAUGCAUGUCCCAGCACCCAGCCUGUAAUGCUCAGAACAGCGCUGGCUACAAAAGUGCCCUUGGUGUCAUCUUUGUUUUGUUGUCAUUCAAAACAGGGCUUACCUAGGAAGCUCUAAGGCCAGCCAGUCACCAGGUUUGGAAAGUCCAAAGAAGACCAGCAAGCAUCUAAAAGCCAGUGUGGUGCCACGGCAGGGAGCAUACUCAGCCUCUUGCUAGCUGAGCUGGAGGUGGACGAGAGACAGCAUCUCCUCUGUCCUGUUCUUCCUGUCCUGUACUGGUUCCAUCAUAGCUUUGUGAAAAUUCAUCAAGUGGCUGGUGCGGUGGCUCACGCCUGUCAUCUCAGCACUUUGGAAGGACACCAGUCAUAUUGGAUUAGGGCCACCCUAAUGGUCUCAUCUCACCUUAAUUACAUCUGCAAGGCCCUGACUUUCAACUCAGGUAACAUUCACAAAGUUUUUGGGUCAUGACUAAAGAGACCUUUUGUGGGACAUGAUUCAAUUCAUAACAGCAGCCCUUAGAUGAUGAUGUUGCUCUUAUGGAAACUUCCUUCCAGGAAGAGAUGUCUGAGUCAUAAAGACUUUAAGUAUUCUUGUUUCUGUGUCAGUAAUUUCCUG